UUGUUGGUAAGGUAAAAGCUUACCAAGGCUUCGAUCAGUAGCUGGUCUGAGAGGACGACCAGCCACACUGGGACUGAGACACGGCCCAGACUCCUACGGGAGGCAGCAGUGGGGAAUUUUGGACAAUGGGGGCAACCCUGAUCCAGCCAUGCCGCGUGAGUGAAGAAGGCCUUCGGGUUGUAAAGCUCUUUCAGCCGGAACGAAACGGUUACGGUUAACACCCGUGACUACUGACGGUACCGGAAGAAGAAGCACCGGCUAACUACGUGCCAGCAGCCGCGGUAAUACGUAGGGUGCGAGCGUUAAUCGGAAUUACUGGGCGUAAAGCGUGCGCAGGUGGUUUUGUAAGUCAGAUGUGAAAGCCCCGGGCUCAACCUGGGAACUGCGUUUGAAACUACAAGACUAGAGUGUGGCAGAGGGGGGUGGAAUURCGCGUGUAGCAGUGAAAUGCGUAGAGAUGUGGAGGAACACCGAUGGCGGAGGCAGCCCCCUGGGUCAACACUGACGCUCAGGCACGAAAGCAUGGGGAGCAAACAGGAUUAGAUACCCUGGUAGUCCAUGCCCUAAACGAUGUCAACUAGUUGUCGGGCCUUUACGGGCUUGGUAACGUAGCUAACGCGUGAAGUUGACCGCCUGGGGAGUACGAUCGCAAGAUUAAAACUCAAAUGAAUUGACGGGGACCCGCACAAGCGGUGGAUUAUGUGGAUUAAUUCGAUGCAACGCGAAAAACCUUACCUACCCUUGACAUGUAUCGAAGCCCGCAGAAAAGCGGGGGUGCCCGAAAGGGAACGAUAACACAGGUGCUGCAUGGCUGUCGUCAGCUCGUGUCGUGAGAUGUUGGGUUAAGUCCCGCAACGAGCGCAACCCUUGUCAUUAAUUGCCAUCAUUUAGUUGGGCACUUUAAUGAGACUGCCGG
rnacentral:rRNA from 1 species